rnacentral:rRNA from 1 species
AGUGAACGCUGGCGGUAGGCUUAACACAUGCAAGUCGAACGGCAGCACAGUAAAGCUUUCUUCUUACGAUCUGCGAGUGGCGGACGGGAGAGAAAUACAUCCGACCCUCCCUUUUCGGGGGGGCAACCGUAGGGAAACUCAGCUAAUUCCCCCUAACAACUAACGGGUGAAUCCAGGAAAGCUUCGGACCUUCCUCGAUGUAUAAGCUAGCUGUCGGAUUGGCUAGUUGGCGGGGUAAAGGCCCACCAAGGCGACGAUCCGUAGCUGGCCUGAGAGGAUGAUCAGCCACACUGGAACUGAGACACGGUCCAGACUCCUACGGGAGGCAGCAGUGGGGAAUAUUGGACAAUGGGCGCAAGCCGGAUCCAGCCAUACCGCGUGGGUGAAGAAGGCCUUCGGGUUGUAAAGCCCGUUUGUUGGGAAAGAAAAGCAGCAGGUUAAUACCCCGCUGUUCUGACGGUACCCAAAGAGUAAGCAACGGCUAACUUCGUG